GUGCCAGCCGCCGCGGUAACACGUAGGGGGCGAGCGUUGUCCGGAUUUAUUGGGCGUAAAGGGCUCGUAGGCGGCUCAGUAAGUCAGGUGUGAAACCUCCAGGCUCAACCUGGAGACGCCACCUGAUACUGCUGUGGCUAGAGUCCGGUAGGGGAGCAUGGAAUUCCUGGUGUAGCGGUGAAAUGCGCAGAUAUCAGGAGGAACACCAGUGGCGAAGGCGGUGCUCUGGGCCGGAACUGACGCUGAUGAGCGAAAGCGUGGGGAGCAAACAGGAUUAGAAACCCGAGUAGUCC
rnacentral:rRNA from 1 species